rnacentral:rRNA from 1 species
AGUGAACGCUGGCGGCAGGCCUAACGCAUGCAAGUCGAACGGCAGCACAGUAAGAGCUUGCUCUUAUGGGUGGCGAGUGGCGGACGGGUGAGGAAUACAUCGGAAUCUACUCUUUCGUGGGGGAUAACGUAGGGAAACUUACGCUAAUACCGCAUACGACCUACGGGUGAAAGCGGAGGACCUUCGGGCUUCGCGCGAUUGAAUGAGCCGAUGUCGGAUUGGCUAGUUGGCGGGGUAAAGGCCCACCAAGGCGACGAUCCGGAGCUGGUCUGAGAGGAUGAUCAGCCACACUGGAACUGAGACACGGUCCAGACUCCUACGGGAGGCAGCAGUGGGGAAUAUUGGACAAUGGGCGCAAGCCUGAUCCAGCCAUGCCGCGUGGGUGAAGAAGGCCUUCGGGUUGUAAAGCCCUAUUGUUGGGAAAGAAAAGCAGUCGGUUAAUACCCGAUUGUUCUGACGGUACCCAAAGAAUAAGCACCGGCUAACUUCGUGCCAGCAGCCGCCGUAA